CAGAGGCGAUGAUGGAACAACACUGUGAAGAGGUGGGUGUGCAUGUGUGCGUGUGUGUACACAUGCAUGUGUCAGACAGGCAUCCAUCCUAUCCAGGAGAUAGGAAACCAAGAAUGCAAAGACAACUCAGCAGAUCUGCUGGCAUGGAGGCGAGGCUGCAUGGAAGGAUCUGGAUUGGAUAGGAGUGUCCCAUUCAGGACAUGUGUCACUCAAAACCACACAACUCAGACUUGGGGAAUAUUCUAUGCCAG
rnacentral:lncRNA from 1 species